CGGAAUUAUUGGGCGUAAAGCGCACGUAGGCGGCUUAGCAAGUCGGAUGUGAAAUCCCUCGGCUUAACCAAGGAAGUGCAUCCGAAACUGCUGAGCUUGAGUACGAAAGAGGAUCGCGGAAUUCCCGGUGUAGAGGUGAAAUUCGUAGAUAUCGGGAGGAACACCAGUGGCGAAGGCGGCGAUCUGGGUCGAUACUGACGCUGAGGUGCGAAAGCGUGGGGAGCAAACAGG
rnacentral:rRNA from 1 species